GUUUCAGCUCUAGAUCAACUGCAAGAACAAACCAGCAAUCUGGAGAGGAACCACAGAUCCUCGGAAGGAAGUGAACUGCUCCUGCGGGAUUCGGGAGACACCCCAAAUACUACUGAAAUUAUUAACUGGCAGCAAACCAGCCUUCAGCAUACACAUGAUGACAAUGCCUGGGAGGAUUCUGUUGGAGAAACAAGAAGGAAGGAAACUUGGAUCUUGAGUGACUUCAUAGAGCAAACUGGUCUGGCAUAAUGGAACAUCUCUAUGGACUGCUGCAUGAAUGUUCGAUAACACUUUAUUUUGUUUGAGCCAUUGCAUUUUGUUCUGAUUUUACUAUAUAUGCUGCUGCAGCAAGCACAGAGGAUUGCAUUUGAGACACUUUAUUCAAGUAGUUUAGUAAUAUUCUAAAAAAAUUAGUAUUUAUUAUAAGAAUUAACAAUUAGUAUACAUCAAAAGGGUGCUGUUUAGCCACUUAGAAAAAGCUGAUCUUUAGCAUUUUACAAAAGUCUAUUUAAAAAUAACUUACAUAAAAGUGUAAGAGAAAACAACCAAGAUGAGUGAAGUUGUUAUAUUGACAAUAUUAUACUUCAUUCUAAUUUAUUCAUUACGAUUUUAAGAAAUUUGCAUUUGGCAACACUUGGUUUGUCCUACCUCCAGCGACUGUUUUUAUUUAUUUGGCAACACUUGGUUGGUCCUACCUCCAGUGACUGUAUGUAUGUAUGUAUGUAUGUAUGUAUGUAUGUAUGUAUGUAUGUAUGUAUUUAUUUUUGAGACAGAGUCUUACUCUCGCCCAGGCUGGAGUAUAGUGGUGCAAUCUUGACUCAC
rnacentral:lncRNA from 1 species